GACGAACGCUGGCGGCGUGCUUAACGCAUGCAAGUCGAACGGAAAGGCCCUGCUUGCAGGGUACUCGAGUGGCGAACGGGUGAGUAACACGUGGGUGAUCUGCCCUGCACUUCGGGAUAAGCCUGGGAAACUGGGUCUAAUACCGGAUAGGAGCCAUUUUUAGUGUGAUGGUUGGAAAGUUUUUUCGGUGUAGGAUGAGCUCGCGGCCUAUCAGCUUGUUGGUGGGGUAAUGGCCUACCAAGGCGGCGACGGGUAGCCGGCCUGAGAGGGUGGACGGCCACAUUGGGACUGAGAUACGGCCCAGACUCCUACGGGAGGCAGCAGUGGGGAAUAUUGCACAAUGGGCGCAAGCCUGAUGCAGCGACGCCGCGUGGGGGAUGACGGCCUUCGGGUUGUAAACUCCUUUCGCUAGGGACGAAGCUUUUUGUGACGGUACCUAGAGAAGAAGCACCGGCUAACUACGUG
rnacentral:rRNA from 1 species